UACAGAGGGUGCGAGCGUUGUCCGGAAUCACUGGGCGUAAAGGGCGCGUAGGGUGGUGGCUUAAGCGUGCGGUGAAAGCUACGGGGCUCAACCCCGAGUCGGGCCGUGCGAACUGGGCUCACUGGAGCAUAGGUAGAGGCAGGUGGAAUUCCGGGUGUAGCGGUGGAAUGCGUAGAGAAGUCCGGAAGAACACCGGUGGCGAAGGCGGCCUGCUGGGCUAUGGCUGACACUGGAG
rnacentral:rRNA from 1 species